CUACGGGUUGCACCAGUGAGGAAUAUUGCACAAUGGGGGGAACCCUGAUGCAGCAACGCCGUGUGGAGGAUGACGCAUUUCGGUGUGUAAACUCCUUUUAUAUGUCAAGAAAAUGACGGUAGCAUAUGAAUAAGCACCGGCUAACUCCGUGCCAGCAGCCGCGGUAAUACGGAGGGUGCAAGCGUUACUCGGAAUCACUGGGCGUAAAGGACGCGUAGGCGGGUUGGAAAGUCAGGUGUGAAAUCCUACAGCUUAACUGUAGAACUGCACUUGAAACUUCUAAUCUAGAGUAUGGGAGGGGGAGAUGGAAUUAGUGGUGUAGGGGUAACAUCCGUAGAUAUCACUAGGAAUACCUAAAGCGAAGGCGAUCUCCUGGAACAUUACUGACGCUAAGGCGUGAAAGCGUGGGGAGCAAACAGGAUUAGAUACCCUAGUAGUC
rnacentral:rRNA from 1 species